UGGAACAACAACCAACACAUAAAAUUUGUAAACUAUAGUUGCAAACAAGAUUGAAUCUUCUUUAUCAAGCAUCGAAUGAAAUAUAACAUAAUAAACAGUACAAUAUUUAUUAAUAAACAUGGCGAAAACAAAAGUGUCAAAUUUAAAGGGAAGACAAUCUAUUUGAUUUCAUAAAAUAGUAUAGGAAUACAUCUUUUGUUCAUCUCCUUCCUUUUCUCUGUUGCCUGCAGUUCUAUAAUCAUGUAUUCAAGUCUCUUUCUCCAACUUUGUUUUCGUCUUCGCCAUAUCUAAUCUCACACGCAACAGAAAAUAGAUGCACAGAGCCGCAAUGCCGGCGUCUUAGCUUUAGAUUUCAGAAUCGGUGAAUUCUUUGACUUUCUUCUUCGAAAGAGUCCUCACAAUAGGCAUGCUCCUCCAAAAUCCGUCGACGGGGACGUACUCGGAAGCUUUGUAAUCGCUGAAGAAGCAGAAACAAGUUGUUACGCUUCCUCAGUUAUUACCUGUUACAAACUUAAUUCAGAGAAAGAUUUGUGACAGACAAAUAGCCACGUCGACUUGUUCCAAUAAAUAAUAUCUAAUAUAUAUUUAAUUUUGUUUUGCAGGUUGUCCAG
rnacentral:lncRNA from 1 species